GUGCCUUAAACUAAUGAGUAAGGAAUACAAAGCGAUCAGUGAAAGCUGGUCGCAGCGCCUCAUGUGAAACCAGAGUUUCUUGGCGCAAAAAUUUGUGAAGGGGUUAUAGGCUGGCUGAGCGUUGACGCUGCUUACUUUUGCAGAACUCGCUCAUGCAGGCCUCCCA